rnacentral:misc_RNA from 1 species
UUGAAUUUUAAUGAAGAGUUUGGUUGUAGCUGGCCCAUUCAUUUGGGCAUGUGCACACCUUCCUCUUUCAUCCCACACACACCUGUGAACCUGUGAGACAGAGAUGGGGGAUUUACUUGCUGCUUUUUGGAAUACAAAGGCAAUAGGUUAUUGGACCCCCCCUCUGUCUACUCAAUUAAUAUAAACUCAAUUUAUUUUAAAACGAAUGUAAUGGAUGUAACACAUCUCAUAC